UACGUAGGUGGCAAGCGUUGUCCGGAUUUAUUGGGUUUAAAGGGUGCGUAGGCGGCCCUGUAAGUCAGUGCUGAAAUAUCCCGGCUUAACCGGGAGGGUGGCAUUGAUACUGCGGGGCUAGAGUACAGAUGAGGUAGGCGGAAUUGACGGUGUAGCGGUGAAAUGCGUAGAGAUCAGGAAGAACACCGGUGGCGAAAGCGUUCUGCUAGACCUGUACUGACACUGAGGGACGAAAGCUAGGGGAGCGAAUGGG
rnacentral:rRNA from 1 species